rnacentral:lncRNA from 1 species
UUUGUUCUAGGAUCUAAACUUCAGCAGUUACGAGUGAAUACUUACUAAUUUAACACAAUGCAAGGCUUAACAUAUUAUUUUACUUCUCAAAAAAGAAAAAAGCUUAAAACAAUUCUAGGCGCAGAGAAAAAAAUAAAAGCUAGUUGCUCAAAUCCAGUCAAAUUCAAGCCAUCUACAAGUCCCGAAACAGAAGGAAUUCUGUGUGAAUCAGAAAGGAGAUAGAUGAAUGACACUUCAAAGCUGAAAGCUGUCAAAUGAUUCAAGACUUGCGAUAAUAGUCCCCAAACUCAUAAACAAAAAUCUUAGAUUCAGAUAGAACUAGCAUUGCUAUCAGGUAUAGAUACCCUUCUACUGUCAUGUGCCUCAUCGGUUGGAAACAGUCCUUCUGGAUUGAAAAAUCUUGGAUUCAGAUAGAACUAGCAUUGCUAUCAGGUAUAGAUACCCUUCUACUGUCAUGUGCCUCAUCGGUUGGAAACAGUCCUUCUGGAUUCAUUAACCAUCUUUCCAUAUUCGGAGAAACCGUCAAAAAAAUUUCACGGAGUAUGAUGCUCGAAUUCAAUCAGAAAUGGUUUAAACACUGCAAAAGAA